CCUACGGGUGGCAGCAGUAAGGGAUAUUGGUCAAUGGGGGAAACCCUGAACCAGCAACGCCGCGUGAGGGAAGACGGUUUUCGGAGUGUAAACCUCUGUCCUCUGUGAAGAGGAUGACGGUAGCAGAGGAGGAAGCUCCGGCUAACUACGGGCCAGCAGCCGCGGUAAGACGUAGGGAGCGAGCGUUGUCCGGAUUUACUGGGGGUAAAGGGGGCGGAGGCGGCUUGGCAAGUCAGUAGGGAAAUCCCUGGGCUUAACCCCUGAACUGCUAUUGAAACUGUCGAGCUUGAGUGAAGUAGAGGUAGGCGGACUUCCCGGUGUAGCGGUGCACUGCGUCGAGUUCGGGAGGAACACCAGUGGCGAAGGCGGCCUACUGGGCUUUACCUGACGCUGAGGCACG
rnacentral:rRNA from 1 species